GUGAACGUUGAUUCUCUACUCUUUGUUUUAGGAGGAAAGGUGUCAGAUUUGGGGAAAAUGCUAAAAACUUCAAAGUGCUAGCUCCUAGAAUGAUGUAUCCUUUGUUGGAAAGUAACUCAGGGGGACUCCCUGGUCACUUCACCGUUUUCCUCACUGAGCGUCAACUUUGAAACGUGCUCGCUCUGGCAGAGGCUGGGCCAGCAGAAGCCCACAGGCCGCGCUCCGUCCACUCACACGGCUGCUGCUCCUCGCUGGGCACUCAUUAGGAGACGGAAAACGAUGAUCACCGAGACUUCAAACGCAGCUGCUCACUGUGAUGAGGAAACUGAGGCCCAGAGAAACAUGCAACUUGCCCAAGGUGACAUAUCUAGUGAGGAGUGCAGCCAAGACGAGUUGAGGGUCUCAGCCUCGUGGUUCCAGGAGUGAUGGCAAUGAGGAGCGCCUAAAGCCUUUGUAGACCUGGCCUUAUGUGUGUGGCACCCUCCAGAGAGCCCAAGGAAUAACUGUGUGUCACCUAAGACAGCCACUCUGUGGACCACAUCCGGGUGGAAGGAGAGCACCUCCAAAUUUUAAACUGCUUCUCAGCAUGCAUCAGAUAAACAAAUAUUGUUUGAAUUUCAACACUGUACCAGCGUUUGUUGCAGCCCUUUGGCGGCUUUGAGGAAAAGGGAUUUCAAAGGAAGUCUGGAGGCAGAGAAACUAGGGGGAGGCUGUUGCAAGGAAACAUAGGAGAGGCAACAAUGGGUGCAAGAGGGCUUAGAGAUGAGACAGGGUAGGGAGGUCAGAAAAGGCGGAGCCGAUCUUGACUGUGUGUGAACAGGGAGCAAGGAGCGAAGCUGUUAGCCAGGAGAGAAGGAAGGAGCCCAGCAGGCUGCUGAGAUGUCUUGGUUGGGGGAUCGGGCAGGUGAACUUUCAAAGUCUUGAUACUCAUGAGUAAUUCCCUUUGGAUUCGUAUCAAACAACAGCCAUUGUCCUCCCCAGAGGGCUUGCGGCUAAACAUUUACUAGCACUCGACGGACUGCAUCCCCCAGUCAGCAAUUUCCAGUACAGACUUCAGAAAACCGUAUCCUGACUUUGAAAGUGGAGAUACAAAGUGAAGUACAUUAGGAUCUUAGCAAGAAAGUUUAAUGCCAGGAAGAGACGUUUAAGUUAUACAAAAAAGAAUACAUCAGAUUUCAAAAGGCAGAGAUGGCAUCAUGGUCUAGCCCUGUCUCCACUUUCAUCUUGGGGUGCUUUCCACACUUGGCUUCCCUCGGAGCCUUUAAUAUGCCCAGUUAACGUGUCAAGCCUUUCGUUCUCCUGAACAGCUUUCCCAGCCCUUACCUGGAUGGGCCCUCGGUGGCGCUCUUGAUCUCUCUGAUAGAAAUCGGUCACUUCCUUUUAUUGUCCUUGUCAUAGUUUGCCAUUGUCCAUUGAUUCAUUUGUUGCUUGUUUUUAUUUGGCCUCAGCCUCUGUUGUGGCGUCCCCACAAAGCGGGGAUGAUGACUGUUACUGAUGGUGGCUUUGACAAGCACGACUCCACUCUAGGCCUGACACACCACCUGGAGCAGGUCGUCCCUAUUUGUUCAGUAAUUAUGUUGAAUAAAUGGUGACUGUGAAGAAGGGCAUCAGUUACAGAGGGGAAAGUUGCAGAUACUCUGACAAAUGGUCUGGUGACUGAACUUAGACGUUAUGAGAUGGAGAGUGGAAGAUCGGACUCAGAGCUGGCGGGGGUCUGAUCCAGGAAGCCCCUCCAAUGUUGUAUGAGAGACUUGGACACCCAUCCAUGUGUGACAAAUGUGCAGCCGUCCGUGGAUCUGAAUCAAGAGAGAAGCGGCCUUCCUAGAACUUGAACAGCUUCCCUAUAACCUGGAGAAUCAUACCGCCUGUGUUGGAAGGUGAAGCAGAUCCCCUAUGUGGCUUAAGGUUGCCCUUGGCUGUGAAACGCCAUGGCUAGAAUGUGGCUUUUUCUUCUUCAAAAAGGUAUUUUCUUCUCUUCCACCUCAGUCAGUGCUGUUCCUUGUUAUGGGGCUUCUUCUUAUCCACUUUCCUGUUCUCUCUCAGGAGUAACUGUUCCGAGCG
ensembl:lncRNA